rnacentral:rRNA from 1 species
UACGUAGGGUGCGAGCGUUGUCCGGAAUUAUUGGGCGUAAAGAGCUCGUAGGCGGUGUGUCACGUCGUUCGUGAAAACCUGCAGCUUAACUGUGGGCGUGCGGUCGAUACGGGCAUCACUGGAGUUCGGCAGGGGAGACUGGAAUUCCUGGUGUAGCGGUGAAAUGCGCAGAUAUCAGGAGGAACACCGGUGGCGAAGGCGGCUCACUGGCCCGGUACUGACGCUGGAGGUGACGAAAGCGUGGGUAGCAAACAGG